GAACAUCCUGCAUGGUGCUGCCACGAAAUCCCUUUGUCAUACUAAGAGGGGACUGGCUGGUUGCACAUGUAGGAUGUCCC
rnacentral:pre_miRNA from 1 species